AUUCGUGUGAUAUACUCAUUCAUGUAGUUUAGGUAAGGUAAUUUUGGUUCGAUCGUUUCAUUGUUUGGAAUAUCCCCAAUUUGCACCGGAACAUGAAUUACAAAAUAAUAAUUACGUGCAAAUUGCACAGGAGGAUUUUCAACAUGGAACAAGGAACAGUUAAAUGGUUUAACGCAGACAAGGGCUUCGGCUUUAUCACUCGUGAAGAUGGCAACGAUGUAUUCGUACAUUUCUCAGCUAUCCAAGGCGACGGCUUCAAGACUCUUGAAGAAGGCCAAUCAGUAACUUUCGACGUUGAAGAAAGCGACCGUGGACCACAAGCCGUUAACGUUAACAAGCAGUAAUUUGAUUAUUGCUUUUUCCCCAGAUCACACCGUGAUCUGGGGCUUU
rnacentral:sRNA from 1 species